rnacentral:tRNA from 1 species
CGGAGCGGUGGCCGAGUGGUCGAAGGCACACCCCUGCUAAGGGUGCAGGCGGGAAACCGUCUCGAGGGUUCGAAUCCCUUCCGCUCCGCCA